ensembl:lncRNA
CCUCAGCAUUAAAACAUUUUUUUUUCCCCUAAGAAUGCAGAGGACAGUGUGGAAACACGCUGGAGGACAACUGCUAAGAGAAUAAAUAAGCUACUGGAGAAUUUUGUAAAAGGCUCAACGGAUCAGAACACUUCUGACAAAGUGGAUCAAGAGUGUGACGGCUCAGGCCUACAGGAUCUUCUUCUGUUCCUCAGACUGGUGUCUACAUGAAACAGCCUCCAAAAACGGCAGUUUUCUCUGGACGAGGAUUGUCCAUGGAAGAAGGCCUUAUAGCACUCUCAGACAGCCUGUUGAGGAGGAAGAAUUUUGGAUAGAUAAGAAGAUCCACAAUAUUUUAGCAGAUGUGAUAAAAUUUCAUGGGUGAGGAGGUGGGAUAACUGGACUAUUCUAAUUCUUGUAUUGAAAUUUCAACUGUCAAAGACCCAGAACUAUAACUCUCAGCAAACCAGUCCAUGUGAAGCACUCACUGGUCUUGAUGGAGCUGAUUUUCACUCUGAAUAUAUUGAGUAAGAUUUCCAAAAGCAGUCAGCGUUGGUCUAGCUGGCCUAAAUAACUUCAGUGAAAGAUCACCAUUGACUUCAAUGGGAAGAGUUGAGUUAAUAUUAAGUGUUUUUCAAAGUCCCAUCAUUUUAGCUCUUAAAAUAAAACAUCAAUCCAAAGAAAGAUAAAAUGAGAA